rnacentral:rRNA from 1 species
GGCGAUCAGAUACCGCCCUAGUUUUGACCAUAAACGAUGCCAGCCAGCGAUCCGGCUGCGUUCCUCAAAUGACGCGCCGGGCAGCUUCCGGGAAACCAAAGCUUUUGGGUUCCGGGGGGAGUAUGGUUGCAAAGUUCAAACUUAAAGGAAUUGACGGAAGCGCACACAAGGAAUGGGGCCUGCGGUUCAAUUUGACUCAACACGGCGCAUCUCACUCGGCCCGGACACUGGAAGGAUUGACAGAUUAAGAGCUCUUUCUUGAUUCAGUGAUAGGUGGUGCAUGGCCGUUUCUGGUUGGUGGAGUGAUUUGUCUGCUUUAUUGCGUUAACGAGCGAGACUCUAGCCUACUAAAUAGACGUUCCGAUCCUUCUGAGUCGGACGUUCUUCUUAGAGGGACAAGCGGUGUUCAGCCGCACGAAACAGAGCAAAAACAGGUCAGGAUGCCCUUAGAUGUUCGGGGCCACACGCGCGCCACAUUGAAGGAAUCAGCGUGUGCUUUCCCUGUCCGUAAGGAUUGGGUAACCCGGUGAACCUCCUUCGUGCUAGGGAUAGGGGCUUGAAACUGUUCCCCUUGAACGAGGAAUUCCCAGUAAGCAUGAGUCAUCAGCUCGUGUUGAUUACGUCCCUGCGCUUUGUACACACCGCCCGUCGCUAUCAUCGAUGAAUGUUGGAGUGAGAUCUUCGGACUGGUGCCCGGACUGGACCUCGGUUCGAGCCGGAGCGCU